GUAUGGAGCAAGCGUUAUCCGGAUUUACUGGGUGUAAAGGGAGCGUAGGCGGCAGGGCAAGUCUGAUGUGAAAACCCAGGGCUCAACCUUGGGACUGCAUUGGAAACUGUUCGGCUGGAGUGUCGGAGAGGCAAGCGGAAUUCCUAGUGUAGCGGUGAAAUGCGUAGAUAUUAGGAGGAACACCAGUGGCGAAGGCGGCUUGCUGGACGAUAACUGACGCUGAGGCUCGAAAGCGUGGGGAGC
rnacentral:rRNA from 1 species